rfam:Selaginella moellendorffii unplaced genomic scaffold SELMOscaffold_32, whole genome shotgun sequence.
UUAAGCGUCCUUGGGAUAGUUGGAGUUAAGCAUCCUUGGGUUUGAAUAGUACUGGGCUGGGUGACCUCAUGGGAAGUCCAAAUUCAGGAGCUUACA